rnacentral:snRNA from 1 species
ACAUGGCCGAUGCUGGUCAAAAUGUAGUAUUUGUUCUUAUCAGCUUAAUUUAUUAUACGGGUUGUAUUAGGACCCAAGAUAUUAAACUUAUGUUUGCAAGUUGGCGGGGUGCUUGAAGCCUGCUUCACCUCCGCCACCGGUCAGCCCGAUAUUGCACGAUCUUCGGGAUCGGCCCACUGUUU